AUACGUAGGUGGCAAGCGUUGUCCGGAAUUACUGGGUGUAAAGGGUGCGCAGGCGGGACUGCAAGUUGGAUGUGAAAUACCGAGGCUUAACCUCGGAGCUGCAUCCAAAACUGUGGUUCUUGAGUGGAGUAGAGGUAAGCGGAAUUCCGAGUGUAGCGGUGAAAUGCGUAGAUAUUCGGAGGAACACCAGUGGCGAAGGCGGCUUACUGGGCUCUAACUGACGCUGAGGCACGAAAGUGUGGGUAGC
rnacentral:rRNA from 1 species